rnacentral:rRNA from 1 species
GAUGAACGCUGGCGGCGUGCCUAAUACAUGCAAGUCGAGCGAACAGACGAGGAGCUUGCUCCUUCGACGUUAGCGGCGGACGGGUGUGUAACACGUAGGUAACCUACCUAUAAGACUGGGAUAACUUCGGGAAACCGGCGCUAAUACCGGAUAAUAUUUCGAACCGCAUGGUUCGAUGGUGAAAGAUGGCUUUGCUAUCACUUCUAGAUGGACCUGCGCCGUAUUAGCUAGUUGGUAAGGUAACGGCUUACCAAGGCAAGGAUACGUAGCCGACCUGAUAGGGUGAUCGGCCACACUAGAAGUGAGACAAGGUCCAGACUCCUACGGGAGGCAGCAGUAGGGAAUCUUCCGCAAUGGGCGAAAGCAUGACGGAGCAACGCCGCGUGAGUGAUGAAAGUCUUCGGAGCGUAAAACUCUGUUAUUAGGGAAGAACAAACGUGUAAGUAACUGUGCACGUCUUGACGGUACCUAAUCAGAAAGCCACGGCUAACUACGUG